rnacentral:rRNA from 1 species
GACGAACGCUGGCGGCGUGCUUAACACAUGCAAGUCGAAAGAAGUGGCGAACGGGUGAGUAACGCGUAAUCAACCUGCCCUUCAGAGGGGGACAACAGUUGGAAACGACUGCUAAUACAGCAUAGUGAAGCAGGGGAUUACGUCAGAUUCGCUAGUUGGAGGGGUAACGGCCCACCGAGGCGAUGAUCAGUAGCCGGUCGGAGAGGAUGAACGGCCACAAUGGGACUGAGACACGGCCCAGACUCCUACGGGAGGCAGCAGGGGGGAAUCUUCCGAAAUGGACGAAAGGCUGACGGAGCAACGCCGCGUGAGUGAUGACGGCCUUCGGGUUGUAAAGCUCUGUUAAUCGGGACGCGGUACCGGCAGAGAAAGCCACGGCUAACUACGUGCCAGCAGCCGCGGUAAUUC